GUGGGGAAUAUUGCACAAUGGGCGCAAGCCUGAUGCAGCAACGCCGCGUGAGGGACGACGGCCUUCGGGUUGUAAACCUCUUUUAGUAGGGAAGAAGCGAAAGUGACGGUACCUGCAGAAAAAGCACCGGCUAACUACGUGCCAGCAGCCGCGGUAAUACGUAGGGUGCAAGCGUUAUCCGGAAUUAUUGGGCGUAAAGAGCUCGUAGGCGGUUUGUCGCGUCUGCUGUGAAAACUGGAGGCUCAACCUCCAGCCUGCAGUGGGUACGGGCAGACUAGAGUGCGGUAGGGGGGAGUGGAAUUCCUGGUGUAGCGGUGGAAUGCGCAGAUAUCAGGAGGAACACCGAUGGCGAAGGCAGAUCUCUGGGCCGUAACUGACGCUGAGGAGCGAAAGCGUGGGGAGCGAACAGGAUUAGAUACCCGGGUAGUCC
rnacentral:rRNA from 1 species